UAGACUAUCUGGUAGGAUCACUGUGGUUGGCACAACCGUGGUCAUAAAUCGUCAUAGUUUGGCAAGCCAAAAAUGUGCUGUUGGAGGAGAUUUUUCUCCUUUAUUUUUUGUGCCAAACAUCUUUUUACUCUCUCUCUUCACCAGAUUAUUCCACUUGGCACAAAUCCAACAUCUCCCAUUUUCUAUAACCCUUCCUCCUAUUUUCUCCACACCUCCAUUCUUCCACCUUUCAAGAGUUAAAGAGAGAAGGAGAGGAAGAAAAGAAAAACGGUGUAGAAGAAAUUAUCAAGGCUUCGGUAAGGAAUUUAUUAUCUCUUUAAAUGUCUUAAGAGGUAUUUUUAGAUAAAGAAAAUACUAAAAUUUUCAUAAUUUUGUGAUUUUGCCUGUUUUGCAUGCUUUGUGUUUUAUAGGCU
rnacentral:lncRNA from 1 species